UACGAAGGGGGCUAGCGUUGCUCGGAAUGACUGGGCGUAAAGGGCGCGUAGGCGGUUUGGUUCGUUAGGCGUGAAAUUCCUGGGCUCAACCUGGGGACUGCGUUUAAUACAGCCAGACUUGAGUGUGGAAGAGGGUCGUGGAAUUCCCAGUGUAGAGGUGAAAUUCGUAGAUAUUCGCAAGAACACCAGUGGCGAAGGCGGCUCACUGGCCCGAUACUGACGCUGAGGCACGAAAGCGUGGGGAGCAAACAGG
rnacentral:rRNA from 1 species